AUUGAACGCUGGCGGCAUGCUUUACACAUGCAAGUCGAACGGUAACAGGGUGCUUGCACCGCUGACGAGUGGCGAACGGGUGAGUAAUGCGUCGGAACGUGCCGAGUAGUGGGGGAUAACGCAUCGAAAGGUGUGCUAAUACCGCAUACGUACUGAGGUAGAAAGUGGGGGACCUUCGGGCCUCACGCUAUUCGAGCGGCCGACGUCUGAUUAGCUAGUUGGUGAGGUAAAGGCUCACCAAGGCGACGAUCAGUAGCGGGUCUGAGAGGAUGUUCCGCCACACUGGGACUGAGAACCGGCCCAGACUCCUACGGGAGGCAGCAGUGGGGAAUUUUGGACAAUGGGCGCAAGCCUGAUCCAGCCAUGCCGCGUGUCUGAAGAAGGCCUUCGGGUUGUAAAGGACUUUUGUCCGGGAGCAAAUACCCAGUGCUAAUAACGCUGGGGGCUGAGAGUACCGGAAGAAUAAGCACCGGCUAACUACGUGCCAGCCGCCGCCGUAACAC
rnacentral:rRNA from 1 species